UAUAUUUUCAUAUUCCAGGUAUUCCUCAUAAAACAUGUUUGUGACAUGAGGCCAUUGCAUUUUUAAAAAAAAAUUUCAUACAUUUUAAGAAAUUGCAGCUUUUGUAUCACUACCCCACUUUUCCAUGAGCGGGGUCAAAAAUGACCCCAAACAUUUCCUAUGGAAUCUCAGGGCUUAACUCUAGGAACCUUUGAUACUUAUCAACUGUGAUUGUCAGUAUACAUUUACUGUUGCACUUACACAUCUGAUGCUGCAGUCUCACCACCCAGGAGGUCAUUUUUACACAGCAACAUAGUAUCAUGGCUGCUAGGAGGCCAACCAGGAUUCCUGAGGCACUUGCACUACAAAUGAUCCUGGACGGAUGGGAUGAAGAGCCUAGUAUUGCAGUAUUCCUGUGUGCAACGAUCACAGCCAGAAGCAAGUAGUUUAUAACAGCUGCACACAGUGAGAAGAGAGAAGACGUUUGUGUGUGUACAUGUCGGUGGACGGUGUUAUGGUCCCCGGACCUACUGUUUGUUCAUUCUCUGUUCGUCCUCCACAGUCAAACAGACAAACGGACACACAAUGUAUUUUGACAUUUUUUGAUUUUUGAUUGAUUGUUUUGUAAUGAAAUGUGAAUAAAAAGUAAUAAAUGAACAUGUCAAAAAUGAAA